rnacentral:rRNA from 1 species
AUGGGCCGAGCCUGAUGCAGCGACGCCNCGCUGCGGGAUGACGGCCUUCCNGUUGUAAACCGCUUUUGACUGGGAGCAAGCCCUUCNGGGUGAGUGUACCUUUCNAAUAAGCACCGGCUAACUACNUGCCAGCAGCCNCGGUAAUACNUAGGGUGCAAGCGUUAUCCNGAAUUAUUGGGCNUAAAGGGCUCNUAGGCGGUUCNUCCCGUCCGGUGUGAAAGUCCAUCCCUUAACGGUGGAUCCGNGCCCGGUACCGGCGGGCUUGAGUGCNGUAGGGGAGACUGGAAUUCCCGGUGUAACNGUGGAAUGUGUAGAUAUCGGGAAGAACACCAAUGGCGAAGGCAGGUCUCUGGGCCGUCACUGACGCUGAGGAGCGAAAGCGUGGGGAGCGAACAGGAUUAGAUACCCUCGUAGUCCAAGGGCGAAUUC